rnacentral:rRNA from 1 species
UACGGAGGGGGCGAGCGUUAUUCGGAAUUAUUGGGCGUAAAGGGCGCGUAGGCGGCCUGGUAAGUCAAAGGUGAAAUCCCUCGGCUCAACUGAGGAACUGCCUUUGAAACUGCCAGGCUUGAGGCCGGGAGGGGGUGGCGGAAUUCCCAGUGUAGCGGUGAAAUGCGUAGAUAUUGGGAGGAACACCAGUGGCGAAGGCGGCCACCUGGACCGGUUCUGACGCUGAUGCGCGAAAGCGUGGGUAGCAAACAGG